UGUGGGAGGGGCAGGGGCGCUGGGCCGGGGCGCCGGUCUGUGAGGGGAGCAGCCGGUGUCGCUUCAGCACGCGGUCCGGUCCCUUUCCUUCUCCUUCCUUUCCCCCCCCCCGCCCCGCUAACUUUGUUUCCCUGAAGCAAAGGGCUGAGUGUAUCGAUGGGCUCUUCGUGAAGGUUUCUGUGUAGGCAUCUCGCUGCUACUUGGGAGAGCUCUCCAAAAGCACGCCUUUUGGAAGAGCGAGGUUUUUUGUUUUCUUUAUGUAUUUGGUUUAUGUCGAGCUGUCUUGGGCAGGAUAUUGCCACGAAGCCAGCACUGCAUAGUCUUACGUGCACCGUGCUCCUCGAUAGAAGGACCACCUAUGUUAAAGGAAUACUUUUUCAGUGAUGUGGAACGGUUAGUGGGACUGUCCUACAGAGUCACCUGUGCCAGACCUUCUGAAGCAUUGAUGGGCUCCUGCAGAAUGCCUGGUUGCUGUAGCAGGCCACUGGAACACGUGUAACAGAGUAGCCCUUAGGCUUAAAGUGUGCCAAUAGGGAUGAUUGGGGCAUUUCAUUUUGGAGUGGGGGUGGAUGGCAUGGAGUCUGCUGUCCUUUGAAAUCUGGUAGUUAUUUCAAGCAUUUCUUGUUAGGCUCCUUGAAAGUGCGUUCUCCCUCUUCCUUCAGAUGAAAGCAAUGGAAGUCUGUUGAUGGCCUGCACAAGCACCAACAUGACCACAAGAUGUCCCAAGAGCAUGUGGUGUCCUUCGGCCUUGUGUUAUAAUGAAGCAGACUUUCCAUCAAAAAAGUUCAGCAGAAUGACUGCAGAGCAGAAAUUUUCACUGAAGCAUUGAGAGUGAGAUCAGCCUGAUGACUCUGUUCUCAUCAACAAAAGUGGAAACCCUGAAGUAAAGUAUUUGGUGUGAGUGGCUUGUAAAAAGCAGUGCAUUGCUGCCAGUGUGUCUGAGAGCAGUCUGUGCUCUCCAUUGUUUGGUUUUUGGGGGUGAUACUGUGGAGCAGUUCAGAACACAAGGACUAAAAAUGUUCAAAGACUGGUGAAAUGUGAAAGCUCGGAAUCUUAUAUGCAAAAUGCUGUUUCACUGUAAAUUCCUGGAAAAGCCAGCGCUAUUAAGAAGUUGACUAGUGCAAGUCAGCAUAAAAUUCAGUGGUACAAACAACGCAUUAAUAGAAAUUGCGUUAUCAAGGUUUCUUCAGUGCUGAAACCUGUAUAUGCAAGGGAAUGACAAGUAAUCCAAGUCUUUGAAGCCAGGAACUUCUUGGUUAGUAUUGGAAAUGUGAUGUGAGAGCGAUCCAGUACUGAGAAAUCAUUAUGGUAACUUAAUCUACAUUUCAGGGGAUGUAAACCACACUGAAAACUAUUAGACCGCCUACUCUAAAGUUAUAGAGACUGAAUUGAAGGUGAAAUUCAGAGUGCAAACUCAAGUUUCAAGUCAAACUGAAGAAAUGACUGUCUUGUAAAUCGGAAAGGGUUACAAUAAUAUACGAUACACUAGGGAGUGGUGUUCCUGUUGAAUGCUUUGUGCAGUACUCAGUGAAACUAAAAAAUGCUGGAGGUUUUUUUAGCAGCAGCAGCUGACUUCUGUGACUGUGAAUGGAGUAGUUUCUCUAACAUAGGAAAGUACAGCAGUGGUGAAGGGUAGAUUGAAGGAGUAGAAAAUGAAUAGAAGUUGUCCUGCUCACACAUCUUGUGCAAUUAUGCCUCAUUGAGGCCUCAUUAUGCAGAAGCUAUGUUCCAGGAUACAAAAAGAACUAAAAGUGUCUUGCAUAUUAGUUUGCAUUCUUGGUUUUGUUGUUUCACUGAUGCAUUCAGCUCUCCUAGAGGGUGGUGAGACGCAGUGCUGUGCAGUGGUAUUUCCAGGGGAGAACUAUAAAUACUGUUCAAGAAAACUUGGAAGAGAUAGAAGUUAUGGAGAAGGUUUGGGAAGAAUCAGGAAAUCGAAAAUACUGCAUAAACUACUAAAGAGAGAAAUAGAGAUGGUGUGGUGUUUGGAGUAGCAGCUUUCAAAUUGUUGAUUGCAGCUCUGGGAAAGCAGGGUGAUUAUUUGGCAGCAGCUUACAAAGACAACAUGAGAAGCUCUUAAGCCAAGCUGUGCAGACUGAGCCAAGUCCAAGUUCUGAAGGAAGUUUGUGAUUCAAUAGAUGUCUGUGCUGAAGACAGAUAAUCAGAAAAUUAUUUCCCAGCAGCUAUCAGACUGGUUGAUCUGGAGUUGUUUAAAGAAUAUAUGGGGAAGAAGUAAACUGAAGGUGGUUCAGUAUUUUGCAUGAACAUGCAUGUGUUUAUACAAAAGUGAACUUGAGUGACAGAAGAUCCACUAUACCACUGUUGGUUUCCUUGUGGGAAAGAAUGUAACAGAAAUCUUAAGCAAAGUGAUGAUUUGUUACAAUGCCCUUGAAAAUACUAGAAUAGGGAAGUUUAAUGCACUGAAGUGUGAAAAUCUACCUGAGCAACAUGAAAAACACAAGAUGCUCUUAAUGCUUUACCAGUGCUGUUGAUAGAAAAUAAAGUAGUGAAAUCCCUCCAAGACCUUUAGCACCAUAUGCCCUGGGGGCUUUUGCAAGACUGAAGGUGGGCGCUCUUUUCAUAUGAACGUGUCAGACACUGGGCAGAGAAAUGUGUGUGCAACCCACUCUGAGUAAUGUAUAUAAUAACAGGGCUGCUACUUGUUUUUUCAACAUAACACAAAGAUGAGAUGUAGUAAUUUUAUUGGCUUACUAUUCUCUCAAGCUGUUUUAUAAUGCAUAGACAUAUGUGUGCAUGAGUUACUGCUACAAAACUUUCUACUGAUCCCCACGAGCUAGAAAGUGUUAGUACUGCCACCAACUUGUAGUUAGGAUCUGAAAUCUUGCUCAGAUGGGCUAAGAGCCACUCCUGCAUAUAGGCUCCCUAAAAAUUACAUUUGCAGAUUUUAGCUUUUUUUUUUUUAUCAAAGGGAUGAGGGGGGAGCUGAUCCUUGCAACUUUGUACCAGUCUUGGGGAUCUAGAGGAUGUUCCUGAAAACAGCUGCGUCCUACAUGUGUCCAAUCCCACAUUGUGUUUACCUUUUUCGCUAGGAAGAAUUGUUAGAACCAGCCUGAGACCAGUGACAGUCUAUGCAACACUACCCCAUAAGAAACAAAAAACUGUUAAAAAGACAGAAUAUUAAGCCUGCAUGUAGUAACACAAGGUACUUCCAACUAUAUUGGGGCAGUGUCUGGUAAUGUUUAUGUGGACAAAAAAUAAAGAUCUAUGUUUCCAUUCUCA